rnacentral:rRNA from 1 species
AAAAACAUUGCCCCUCGAUCAUCCGUGAGGGGUACCUCCUGCCCGGUGACACAUAUAGUUCAACGGCCGCGGUAUCCUAACCGUGCAAAGGUAGCAUAAUCACUUGCUCAUUAAUUGUGGGCUAGAAUGAAAGGAUAAACGAAAUACUAACUGUCUCUGCAAGCACAAUAAAAACUAUUCUCUAAUUGAAGAAAAUUAGAUACCGUUGAAGGACAAGAAGACCCUAUAGAGCUUCAUUUUACCAGAAAUAUAAGUUCUCCUAAAAUUCGGUUGGGGCGACCUGGGAAUUACUAAACAUCCCUUUCUACAUAGAUUUAUCAAUCUAACCUCUGACCCUUAUAAGAUCCUAAAAACAAGCUACCUUAGGGAUAACAGGCUAAUCCUACUAGAGAGUCCUUAUCUAUAGUAGGGAUUGGCACCUCGAUGUUGGCUUAGGGAAUCUAUACGACGCAAAAGUCAUAUAAAGAUGGCUUGUUCAGCCAAUAACACCCUACAUGAUCU